rnacentral:rRNA from 1 species
AGAGUUUGAUCUUGGCUCAGAUUGAACGCUGGCGGCAGGCCUAACACAUGCAAGUCGAGCGGAUGAGAGGAGCUUGCUCCUUGAUUUAGCGGCGGACGGGUGAGUAAUGCCUAGGAAUCUGCCUGGUAGUGGGGGAUAACGUUCCGAAAGGAACGCUAAUACCGCAUACGUCCUACGGGAGAAAGCAGGGGACCUUCGGGCCUUGCGCUAUCAGAUGAGCCUAGGUCGGAUUAGCUAGUUGGUGAGGUAAUGGCUCACCAAGGCGACGAUCCGUAACUGGUCUGAGAGGAUGAUCAGUCACACUGGAACUGAGACACGGUCCAGACUCCUACGGGAGGCAGCAGUGGGGAAUAUUGGACAAUGGGCGAAAGCCUGAUCCAGCCAUGCCGCGUGUGUGAAGAAGGUCUUCGGAUUGUAAAGCACUUUAAGUUGGGAGGAAGGGUUGUACGUUAAUACCGUGCAAUUUUGACGUUACCGACAGAAUAAGCACCGGCUAACUUCGUGCCAGCAGCCGCGGUAAUACGAAGGGUGCAAGCGUUAAUCGGAAUUACUGGGCGUAAAGCGCGCGUAGGUGGUUCGUUAAGUUGGAUGUGAAAGCCCCGGGCUCAACCUGGGAACUGCAUCCAAAACUGGCGAGCUAGAGUACGGUAGAGGGUGGUGGAAUUUCCUGUGUAGCGGUGAAAUGCGUAGAUAUAGGAAGGAACACCAGUGGCGAAGGCGACCACCUGGACUGAUACUGACACUGAGGUGCGAAAGCGUGGGGAGCAAACAGGAUUAGAUACCCUGGUAGUCCACGCCGUAAACGAUGAUAACUAGCUGUCCGGGCUCAUGGAGCUUGGGUGGCGCAGCUAACGCAUUAAAGUAUCCGCCUGGGGAGUACAGUCGCAAGAUUAAAACUCAAAGGAAUUGACGGGGGGCCUGCACAAGCGGUGGAGCAUGUGGUUUAAUUCGAAGCAACGCGCAGAACCUACCAGCCUUUGACAUCCUGGUCGCGGGGAGAGGAGACUCACCCCUUCAGUUCGGCUGGACCAGUGACAGGUGCUGCAUGGCAGUCGUCAGCUCGUGUCGUGAGAUGUUGGGUUAAGUCCCGCAACGAGCGCAACCCUCGUCCUUAGUUGCCAUCAUUUAGUUGGGAACUCUAAGGAAACCGCCGGUGAUAAGCCGGAGGAAGGUGGGGAUGACGUCAAGUCCUCAUGGCCCUUACAGGCUGGGCUACACACGUGCUACAAUGGCGAUGACAGUGGGCAGCUAUCCCGCAAGGGUGAGCUAAUCUCCAAAAGUCGUCUCAGUUCGGAUUGUCCUCUGCAACUCGAGGGCAUGAAGGCGGAAUCGCUAGUAAUCGCGGAUCAGCACGCCGCGGUGAAUACGUUCCCGGGCCUUGUACACACCGCCCGUCACACCAUGGGAGUUGGCUUUACCCGGAGCCGGUGCGCUAACCCGCAAGGGGGGCAGCCGACCACGGUAAGGUCAGCGACUGGGGUGAAG